AAAGAUUUAGUUUAAAUAAAACCUUAACUUGUCAAGUUAAAAUUACAUUGCCCACGAAGUAGUCUUUA
rnacentral:tRNA from 1 species